rnacentral:rRNA from 1 species
AUACGUAGGGGGCGAGCGUUGUCCGGAAUGAUUGGGCGUAAAGGGCGCGUAGGCGGCCCGGUAAGUCUGGAGUGAAAGUCCUGCUUUUAAGGUGGGAAUUGCUUUGGAUACUGUCGGGCUUGAGUGCAGGAGAGGUAAGUGGAAUUCCCAGUGUAGCUGUGAAAUGCGUAGAGAUUGGGAGGAACACCAGUGGCGAAGGCGACUUACUGGACUGUAACUGACGCUGAGGCGCGAAAGUGUGGGGAGCAAACAGGAUUAGAUACCCUGGUAGUCCACACUGUAAACGAUGAAUGCUAGGUGUAGGGGGUAUCGACCCCUUCUGUGCCGCAGUUAACACAAUAAGCAUUCCGCCUGGGGAGUACUGCCGCAAGGUUGAAACUCAAAUGAAUUGACGGGG